UACGUAGGGGGCAAGCGUUGUCCGGAUUUAUUGGGCGUAAAGAGCUCGUAGGUGGUUCGGUAAUUCGGAUGUGAAAUCUCCAGGCUCAACCUGGAGGGGUCAUUCGAUACUGCCGUGACUAGAGGUCGGUAGGGGAGUGUGGAAUUCCUGGUGGAGCGGUGAAAUGCGCAGAUAUCAGGAGGAACACCCGUAGCGAAGGCGGCACUCUGGGCCGAUUCUGACACUGAGGAGCGAAAGCGUGGGGAGCGAACAGG
rnacentral:rRNA from 1 species